UACGAAGGGGGCUAGCGUUGCUCGGAAUCACUGGGCGUAAAGGGUGCGUAGGCGGGUCUUUAAGUCAGGGGUGAAAUCCUGGAGCUCAACUCCAGAACUGCCUUUGAUACUGAAGAUCUUGAGUUCGGGAGAGGUGAGUGGAACUGCGAGUGUAGAGGUCGAAAUUCGUAGAUAUUCGCAAGAACACCAGUGGCGAAGGCGGCUCACUGGCCCGUAACUGACGCUGAGGUGCGAAAGCGUGGGAGCA
rnacentral:rRNA from 1 species